CUUGUCUAACAUAAGAGGUCCAGCCUGCCCAGUGACAUUGUUCAACGGCCGCGGUAUCCUAACCGUGCGAAGGUAGCGUAAUCACUUGUUCUUUAAAUGAGGACUAGUAUGAAAGGCAUCACGAGAGUCAUACUGUCUCCUUUCUCUAAUCAGUGAAACUAAUCUCCCCGUGAAGAAGCGAGGAUAAAAAUAUAAGACGAGAAGACCCUAUGGAGCUUAAAACAAAUAACAUUUGCCUUUCUAACUUCAAAUUUCAGAAAAAUUUCUUAUCUCGGCAUUAUAAUUAUUAGUUUUUGGUUGGGGUGACCACGGAACAAAAAACAACUUCCGCAAUGAAAGACACUCCUUAACUAAGUCAAGGACUACGACCCUACACAUCAACAAAUUGACAUUUAUUGACCCAACAUGUUGAUCAAUGGAC
rnacentral:rRNA from 1 species